GACGAACGCUGGCGGCGUGCUUAACACAUGCAAGUCGAACGAUGAAGCCCAGCUUGCUGGGUGGAUUAGUGGCGAACGGGUGAGUAACACGUGAGUAACCUGCCCUUGACUCUGGGAUAAGCGUUGGAAACGACGUCUAAUACCGGAUACGAGCUUCCACCGCAUGGUGAGUUGCUGGAAAGAAUUUUGGUCAAGGAUGGACUCGCGGCCUAUCAGCUUGUUGGUGAGGUAACGGCUCACCAAGGCGACGACGGGUAGCCGGCCUGAGAGGGUGACCGGCCACACUGGGACUGAGACACGGCCCAGACUCCUACGGGAGGCAGCAGUGGGGAAUAUUGCACAAUGGGCGAAAGCCUGAUGCAGCAACGCCGCGUGAGGGACGACGGCCUUCGGGUUGUAAACCUCUUUUAGCAGGGAAGAAGCGAAAGUGACGGUACCUGCAGAAAAAGCACCGGCUAACUACGUGCCAGCAGCCGCGGUAAUACGUAGGGUGCAAGCGUUGUCCGGAAUUAUUGGGCGUAAAGAGCUCGUAGGCGGUUUGUCGCGUCUGCUGUGAAAUCCCGAGGCUCAACCUCGGGUCUGCAGUGGGUACGGGCAGACUAGAGUGCGGUAGGGGAGAUUGGAAUUCCUGGUGUAGCGGUGGAAUGCGCAGAUAUCAGGAGGAACACCGAUGGCGAAGGCAGAUCUCUGGGCCGCUACUGACGCUGAGGAGCGAAAGGGUGGGGAGCAAACAGGCUUAGAUACCCUGGUAGUCCACCCCGUAAACGUUGGGCGCUAGAUGUGGGGACCAUUCCACGGUUUCCGUGUCGUAGCUAACGCAUUAAGCGCCCCGCCUGGGGAGUACGGCCGCAAGGCUAAAACUCAAAGGAAUUGACGGGGGCCCGCACAAGCGGCGGAGCAUGCGGAUUAAUUCGAUGCAACGCGAAGAACCUUACCAAGGCUUGACAUAUACGAGAACGGGCCAGAAAUGGUCAACUCUUUGGACACUCGUAAACAGGUGGUGCAUGGUUGUCGUCAGCUCGUGUCGUGAGAUGUUGGGUUAAGUCCCGCAACGAGCGCAACCCUCGUUCUAUGUUGCCAGCACGUAAUGGUGGGAACUCAUGGGAUACUGCCGGGGUCAACUCGGAGGAAGGUGGGGACGACGUCAAAUCAUCAUGCCCCUUAUGUCUUGGGCUUCACGCAUGCUACAAUGGCCAGUACAAAGGGCUGCAAUACCGUAAGGUGGAGCGAAUCCCAAAAAGCUGGUCCCAGUUCGGAUUGAGGUCUGCAACUCGACCUCAUGAAGUCGGAGUCGCUAGUAAUCGCAGAUCAGCAACGCUGCGGUGAAUACGUUCCCGGGCCU
rnacentral:rRNA from 1 species